GUUUAUUACUUACAAAGUGCAGUCUGGGGCCCUUUCUCUCUUUCCUGCUCCAGCAAAAGCAAAACCCAACCCUCCUCUCUCCUCUGAGGUACAGAUAAGCCCUCCUUGCCCAGGUAAUUACCCACUGAUAUGGAGAUGAACUUCUCUCCACCCCUGAGGAAGGAUGCAAAUGCACUAAAGUAUGCAAAUGCACAUUUCUUUCCACCUCUAUACACCUUUUGAUAUGCAGAUAUUCUAAAGGCAGGCGAGAUAUUCUGGAAAUGUUACAAUUUCACCCACAAACCAUAAUUUCCACAGCUGCUUGGUAUUAGUAAGGUAACCUAUUUAAACCAGCUAUAUUUCACUGAAUGUAAGUUCCACACAGGAAAUAACAGGUGGGAUAUUUGCUUUGCUCACUGGUAUAUUCAAAGUGAGAAGAGUGUCUUGUGCUAAUAAAUACUUGUGGAAUAAGUUAUUUACCACUGUUACUCAGUUUCUUAGUUUUAUAUUUUAAUUCCUUUCCUAACUGACUGGCUCCCAUUGUUGUAUAUGUAUAAAUGAACACACACACAUAGAGCUUUGUUUUCCAUCAAGAAAAGUUCAGCCACACAGGGCUGCUUGAGUCCCAUCACGUCUGAAGACAUGGGCCACUGUAUUCAAAUGCACUGUGAAUAUCGGUGAAAUAAACUCACAGAUUCUGUACAAUCCUAGUAGUCAGUGCACUCCUAUCAUCAUUAUUUUUUAUUAUAAGCUUUUAUCCAGUUGUUGGCAUAUCCAUAUACAAAAGCUAAAAAGAUUUUUUUUUUGACAGGGACAUACUACCUUUGAUGAUAUUCUUCAGUAAGUCAACAAGUAUUUUGUGAGAACUCUCUGCUAAAUUCUACGUACUAUAUAAAUAUGGAUGACAAUGGAGCCUGUCCUCAAGGAGCUUGUCUGAAAGGGUAGAGAAAAUAAGCAUGUUGCUACAAUAUGAAGUAGAGUAAUAUUUUAAGAGAAAUGCAAUACCUGUGUGUUCUGAAAGGCCAGUAAUUACUGAGAUUACUUUUAUUGAAGGCUGGUUAUUUGGCAAGCAAUAAAAAACCUUGACAGAAGUUAUCACCUUUGAUCUUCAGGACAACUGUGCAAGGGAAGUUAUCAUUAUCCCCAUUUUACUGGUACAGACAUUGCAUUUAAUUGCCCAAUAUCACACAGGAAGAGUUGACAUUUGAACCCUGACUUCAAAGCUCAUAUCCUUUCUCUACUAACAAGUCUUUCCUGUUGCAAGAAUGAGUCUGAGUAGGCUUGAUGGAGAAAGUGGCACAUGAGCAGGUGCCUUGAUGUGUAGGUAGAUUUUAUGGGUAGGAGUAAGAACUGCGAAUCCAUCCGUGCAAAUCCAAGUAUUUUCCACAACUGAGGGCUUGGGGACAGAACUGAAUACAAACAGCAGAGAGCAUUGCAAAUAGGGUUCCACAUACAGGUGAAGCCAUUUGGUAUUCCUCUUUCUGACUUAUUUCAUGUAGCAUAAUACCCUCUAGAUCCAUCCAUGUUGUUGCAAAUAGCCAAGAUUUCUU